AACGAACGCUGGCGGCGUGCCUAACAUAUGCAAGUCGUACGAGAAAUCCUGGGCAACUGGGAGAGUAAAGUGGCGCACGGGUGAGUAACGCGUGGGUAACCUACCCUUGAACUGGGGAUAACUCUUCGAAAGGGGAGUUAAUACCGAAUAAUAUUCCAAUUCCUAUGGGAGUUGGGAUCAAAGGUGGCCUCUGCAUGCAAGCUAUCGUUUAAGGAUGGGCCCGCGUACCAUUAGCUUGUUGGUAGGGUAAUGGCCUACCAAGGCAACGAUGGUUAGCUGGUCUGAGAGGAUGGCCAGCCACACUGGAACUGAGAUACGGUCCAGACUCCUACGGGUGGCUG
rnacentral:rRNA from 1 species